rnacentral:rRNA from 1 species
CGGUAAUUCCAGCUCCAAUAGCGUAUACUAAAGUUGUUGCAGUUAAAAAGCUCGUAGUUGGAUUUCUGCGGGGACGGAGCGGCCGGUCGCAACUUGCGACUCGAGCUAGCGCUUUCCCCGCAUCCUGCCGCGAACCGUGCUACCAUUAGUUUGGUGGCGCUGGGGAUCGGCUCGAUUACUUUGAGAAAAAUAGAGUGUUCAAAGCAGGCCACACGCCUUGAAUAAGUUAGCAUGGAAUAAUGACUAAGGACUUUGGUUCUUUUCGUUGGUGUUCGGGACUGAAGUAAUGAUUGAUAGGGACAGUUGGGGCGGUCCGUAUUCCAAAGCGAGAGGUGAAAUUCUUAGACCUUCGGAAGACGAACAGCUGCGAAAGCGUUCCGCAAGGAUGUUCCCUUUGAUCAAGAACGAAAGUUGGGGGAUCGAAGACGAUCAGAUACCGUCGUAGUCUCAACUAUAAACUAUACCAGCUAGGGAUCGGCCAACGUUUAAUUAUUCGACUUGGUCGGCACCUUAUGAGAAAUCAAAGCAUCUGGGUUCCGGGGGGAGUAUGGUCGCAAGGCUGAAACUUAAAGGAAUUGGCGGAGGGGCACCACCAGGCGUGGAGUUUGUGGCUUAAUUUGACUCAACACGGGAAAACUUACCAGGUCCAGACAUAGGAAGGAUUGACAGAUUGAUAGCUCUUUCUUGAUUCUGUGGGUGGUGGUGCAUGGCCGUUUUUAGUCGGUGAAGUGAUUUGUCUGCUUAAUUGCGAUAACGGACGAGACCCCAGCCUGCUAAAUAGCGCGGCCGAGCUUUGCUCGGUACGAGCUUCUUAGAGGGACCAUGAUGCGCGAUAGCACAAGGAAGUUUGGGGCAACAACAGGUCUGUGAUGCCCUUAGAUGUUCUGGGCCGCACACGGGCUACACUGGCGCCUGCAACGAGCAUAUCAGCUGGCCCGAGAGGGUCUUGGCUAAUCUUUGGAACCGGCGCCGUGCUUGGGAUUGACCAUUGCAAUUGUUGGUCAUGCAACGAGGAAUGCCUUGUAAACGCGAGUCAUCAGCUCGCAUUGAAUACGUCCCUGCCCUUUGUACACACCGCCCGUCGCUCCUACCGAUGAAUGUUCCGAUGAAAUUUUCGGAGAGCGCCGGAGAACGGGGCUCUGCCCUGCAGAACUGGAGGCUCAAAGUCACUUAAAUCUGAACAUUUCGAGGAAGGAGAAGUCGUAACAAGGUAACC